AGGGAAGCUGCAAUGCCAGCCCUUCUGUGCCUGUGGCCUCUACAACCCUCCAGACGCUGGUCCUCUGCCAGUUUCCGCACCAGGAGUCACUCCUGGAGGGUUUGCAGUCAUCUCGAGACCAGGAGAAUGGCAGGCAUUGACCACGCGUGUAGACAUGGUUGGGCUGGAGGCAGCCCCAUAUCUGUCACCCCCUGGCUUCUUGCUUUGUGACAUAAUGGAGUACCUUUCAUGGUCUGAGCCUCUGCUACUCCAAGUGUGAUCCCCAACCAGCACCUUCGGAACCACUUGGGAGCUUGUUAGACAUGCAGACUCUCAGGCCCAGCCCUAGACGGACUGAUCCAGAAGAUACAGUGAAAAAAGAUCUCUGAGUAACUAAUGUGACACAGAAACCAUGAGGAGGGAGAGAAGAGGGGAUGGGGUGUGGACGGUGGAGAAACUAUUAUUUGGAGAUUUGUUUUCUUCGUAUUUUGUGUUUAUGCCUCUCUGAGCUACAAACGAUGAAAUCGUAACUCUAUUUAAAAGGAAGACAAAGCUUCCUCCCUCCUCCCUGCCCUCCAGCCUUUCUCCCCAUCCAGCUGCUGGGGCGGAUCAAUGGUGGGGUUCUUGCAGGCCGAGGAUUUACAGGAUUUGCAGGAGGAGGCAUUUACACUUGGCUUACUGCUCUAAGCACUAAAUCGUCCCUCAUCCUCUCUGAGUUCCUUAGACUGCAAGGAGAUCCAACCAGUCAAUCCUAAAGGAAGUCCUGAAUAUUCAUAGGAAGGACUGAUGCUAAAGCUGAAGCUCCAAUACUUUGGCCACUGGAUGUGAAGAACCGAUUCACUGGAAAAGACUCUGAUGCUGGGAAAGAUUGAGGGCAGGAAGAGAAGGGGGUGACAGAGGAUGAGAUGGCUGGAUAGCAUCACCGACUCAGUGUACAUGAGUUUGAGUAAACUCUGGGAGACUGUGAAAGACAAAGAAGCCUGGUGUGCUGCAGUCCACGGGGUCGCAAAGAGUUGGACACGACUGAGGGACUGAACAGUAGCAACAUCCUGUCUGAAGUCUGGGCUUUACAUUUAGAAAGAUUAAACCAGC
ensembl:lncRNA